GCAGUCAUGGUGUAGCUGGUCAUCACGUUGUGCCUCACACGUGCAAGGUCCCCAGUUCGGACCUGGGUGGCUGCA